GCUGAUUGUAUUAUACAAUAUUAACUAUGUAAAUAAAAUUCUAGGUAUAUUUAUGAUUAUGACAUUGUAUAUCUAUAAGUCUUGACUAAGUCACGUGCCAGCAGUCGCGGUAAUACGUGGAAGACAAGUGUUAUUCAUCUUUAUUUGGUUUAAAGGGUACGUAGACAGCUAAUCAAGCUUGCUAACAGUGAGGACUAAUUAUGCUAGAGUUUUAUGUGAGGAGAGAGUAGUACGGUGAGCGUAGAGAUGAAAUUCUUUGAGACCACUUAGAGACUGAUAAAGGCGAAAGCGGCCUCUUAUGUAAAA
rnacentral:rRNA from 1 species